rnacentral:rRNA from 1 species
AUUGAACGCUGGCGGCAGGCCUAACACAUGCAAGUCGAGCGGUAGAGAGAAGCUUGCUUCUCUUGAGAGCGGCGGACGGGUGAGUAAUGCCUAGGAAUCUGCCUGGUAGUGGGGGAUAACGUUCGGAAACGGACGCUAAUACCGCAUACGUCCUACGGGAGAAAGCAGGGGACCUUCGGGCCUUGCGCUAUCAGAUGAGCUUAGGUCGGAUUAGCUAGUUGGUGAGGUAAUGGCUCACCAAGGCGACGAUCCGUAACUGGUCUGAGAGGAUGAUCAGUCACACUGGAACUGAGACACGGUCCAGACUCCUACGGGAGGCAGCAGUGGGGAAUAUUGGACAAUGGGCGAAAGCCUGAUCCAGCCAUGCCGCGUGUGUGAAGAAGGUCUUCGGAUUGUAAAGCACUUUAAGUUGGGGGGAAGGGUUGUAGAUUAAUACUCUGCAAUUUUGACGUUACCGACAGAAUAAGCACCGGCUAACUCUGUGCCAGCAGCCGCCGUAA